UACCACACCGCCCGUCACACCAUGGGAGCGGGAUGUACCAGAAGUAGGUAGGCUAACCUGGGGUAACUUCGGGAGCCGCUUACCACGGUGCGUUUCGCGACUGGGGUG
rnacentral:rRNA from 1 species